GACGAACGCUGGCGGCGUGCUUAACACAUGCAAGUCGAACGAAGAGCGAUGGAAGCUUGCUUCUAUCAAUCUUAGUGGCGAACGGGUGAGUAACGCGUAAUCAACCUGCCCUUCAGAGGGGGACAACAGUUGGAAACGACUGCUAAUACCGCAUACGAUCUAAUCUCGGCAUCGAGGAUAGAUGAAAGGUGGCCUCUACAUGUAAGCUAUCACUGAAGGAGGGGAUUGCGUCUGAUUAGCUAGUUGGAGGGGUAACGGCCCACCAAGGCGAUGAUCAGUAGCCGGUCUGAGAGGAUGAACGGCCACAUUGGGACUGAGACACGGCCCAGACUCCUACGGGAGGCAGCAGUGGGGAAUCUUCCGCAAUGGACGAAAGUCUGACGGAGCAACGCCGCGUGAGUGAUGACGGCCUUCGGGUUGUAAAGCUCUGUUAAUCGGGACG
rnacentral:rRNA from 1 species